CCUACGGUGUGCAGCAGUAGGGAAUAUUGCUCAAUGGGGGAAACCCUGAAGCAGCAACGCCGCGUGGAGGAUGCAGGUUUUCGGAUUGUAAACUCCUUUUGUUAGAGACGAUAAUUACGGUAUCUACCUACUAAUCACCGGCUAACUCCGUGCCAGCCGCCGCGGUAAUACGGAGGGUGCAAGCGUUACUCGGAAUCACUGGGCGUAAGGAGCGCGUAGGCGGGAUAGCAAGUCAGAUGUGAAAUCCUAUGGCUUAACCAUAGAACUGCAUUUGAAACUGUUAUUCUAGAGUAUGGGAGAGGUAGGUGGAAUUCUUGGUGUAGGGGUAAAAUCCGUAGAGAUCAAGAGGAAUACUCAUUGCGAAGGCGACCUGCUAGAACAUAACUGACGCUGAUGCGCGAAAGCGUGGGGAGCAAACAGGAUUAGAUACCCCAGUAGUC
rnacentral:rRNA from 1 species